rnacentral:sRNA from 1 species
UCAAUUUGUACAACAGACGUUGAGUAGC